rnacentral:rRNA from 1 species
GAUGAACGCUAGCUACAGGCUUAACACAUGCAAGUCGCGGGGCAGCAUGGGGGUUGCUUGCAAUCCCCGAUGGCGACCGGCGCACGGGUGAGUAACGCGUAUCCAACCUGCCCUUCACCACGGGAUAACCCGGCGAAAGUCGGACUAAUACCGUAUGUUGUCCAUUGACGGCAUCCGAUUUGGACGAAAGGCUUGGCGGUGAGGGAUGGGGAUGCGUCCGAUUAGCCAGACGGCGGGGUAACGGCCCACCGUGGCUACGAUCGGUAGGGGUUCUGAGAGGAAGGUCCCCCACACUGGAACUGAGACACGGUCCAGACUCCUACGGGAGGCAGCAGUGAGGAAUAUUGGUCAAUGGGCGUAAGCCUGAACCAGCCAAGUAGCGUGCAGGAUGACGGCCCUAUGGGUUGUAAACUGCCUUUAUGCGGGGAUAAAGUGGCCCACGUGUGGGCUUUUGCAGGUACCGCAUGAAUAAGGACCGGCUAAUUCCG